rnacentral:rRNA from 1 species
AUUGAACGCUGGCGGCAGGCUUAACACAUGCAAGUCGAGCGGAGUGAUGGUGCUUGCACUAUCACUUAGCGGCGGACGGGUGAGUAAUGCUUAGGAAUCUGCCUAUUAGUGGGGGACAACAUCUCGAAAGGGAUGCUAAUACCGCAUACGUCCUACGGGAGAAAGCAGGGGAUCACUUGUGACCUUGCGCUAAUAGAUGAGCCUAAGUCGGAUUAGCUAGUUGGUGGGGUAAAGGCCUACCAAGGCGACGAUCUGUAGCGGGUCUGAGAGGAGGAUCCGCCACACUGGGACUGAAACACGGCCCAGACUCCUACGGGAGGCAGCAGGGGGGAAUAUUGGACAAUGGGGGGAACCCUGAUCCAGCCAUGCCGCGUGUGUGAAGAAGGCCUUAUGGUUGUAAAGCACUUUAAGCGAGGAGGAGGCUCUUUUGGUUAAUACCCAAGAUGAGUGGACGUUACUCGCAGAAUAAGCACCGGCUAACUCUGUGCCAGCAGCCGCCGUAA